rnacentral:ribozyme from 1 species
AUAAUUUUGCGCUCUGCAAUGGGAUAGAAUCCGAAGCCCCCGGAGGAUAAUGCAGGCUCUCCCAUCUAACUCCUAUUCCGACACGUCCUCUUCGUGCAGAGUGGUAUCAUGUGCCACCACAUAUCCAAGCUUGGGUACACGGGCUUGACCCAACUCCGUACGCGGAUGGUGGCAUAAGGAGAACUAAGGGGUG